AAAAAAAACAAACAAAAAAACAAAAACAUCUCAGUCAAAAUAAUGGAUUCUGAGUAUUUAAAGCAACAUGUUGGACUGGCAUUGUCCUUAGGUUUAUCAGAAAUAUGCCAAAAAAGACCAUCUGAUCCAAUUGGUUACUUAUCUGCAUGGUUAAAAAAAUACGUUCGUAAUAGGGAAGAAAAUGAGCAUGACUUAAUAGAUAAAAAAAGAUUAGAAGAAGAGCGAGAAAUAUUAGCUGAAGAAGCCAAACAUAAAGAAGCAAUGAUCCAAGAACAAGAAAAAAUAGCUAAUCAGCUUUUUGCAGAAAACAUUAAUAAGCUAUGAAUUGUUUUGUUUGCGAGCCCUGAAAUACCAUCUUAAAAUCGUUUGGUGUUUGCGUUAUAAUUCAAUUCUCAAUUAACUCACUUAAACUAUAUUUUUCAACAGACUCGUUAUCUCGAUUUGCAGUGUGAACUUUGGUACGUCCAGUAUUUGAAACAAUUAUUUUAUGCAAUUGUAAAAUUAUUGAUGUAAGCAAAAAAAUAUUUUACUGUAGUAGUUUAUUACAUUAUAUUA